rnacentral:rRNA from 1 species
UAACACGUGAGUAACCUGCCCCUGACUCUGGGAUAAGCGUUGGAAACGACGUCUAAUACUGGAUAUGAUCACUGGCCGCAUGGUCUGGUGGUGGAAAGAUUUUUUGGUUGGGGAUGGACUCGCGGCCUAUCAGCUUGUUGGUGAGGUAAUGGCUCACCAAGGCGACGACGGGUAGCCGGCCUGAGAGGGUGACCGGCCACACUGGGACUGAGACACGGCCCAGACUCCUACGGGAGGCAGCAGUGGGGAAUAUUGCACAAUGGGCGAAAGCCUGAUGCAGCAACGCCGCGUGAGGGAUGACGGCCUUCGGGUUGUAAACCUCUUUUAGUAGGGAAGAAGCGAAAGUGACGGUACCUGCAGAAAAAGCACCGGCUAACUACGUGCCAGCAGCCGCGGUAAUACGUAGGGUGCAAGCGUUGUCCGGAAUUAUUGGGCGUAAAGAGCUCGUAGGCGGUUUGUCGCGUCUGCUGUGAAAUCCCGAGGCUCAACCUCGGGCUUGCAGUGGGUACGGGCAGACUAGAGUGCGGUAGGGGAGAUUGGAAUUCCUGGUGUAGCGGUGGAAUGCGCAGAUAUCAGGAGGAACACCGAUGGCGAAGGCAGAUCUCUGGGCCGUAACUGACGCUGAGGAGCGAAAGCGUGGGGAGCGAACAGGAUUAGAUACCCUGGUAGUCCACGCCGUAAACGUUGGGCGCUAGAUGUAGGGACCUUUCCACGGUUUCUGUGUCGUAGCUAACGCAUUAAGCGCCCCGCCUGGGGAGUACGGCCGCAAGGCUAAAACUCAAAGGAAUUGACGGGGGCCCGCACAAGCGGCGGAGCAUGCGGAUUAAUUCGAUGCAACGCGAAGAACCUUACCAAGGCUUGACAUACACCGGAAACGGCCAGAGAUGGUCGCCCCCUUGUGGUCGGUGUACAGGUGGUGCAUGGUUGUCGUCAGCUCGUGUCGUGAGAUGUUGGGUUAAGUCCCGCAACGAGCGCAACCCUCGUUCUAUGUUGCCAGCGCGUUAUGGCGGGGACUCAUAGGAGACUGCCGGGGUCAACUCGGAGGAAGGUGGGGAUGACGUCAAAUCAUCAUGCCCCUUAUGUCUUGGGCUUCACGCAUGCUACAAUGGCCGGUACAAAGGGCUGCGAUACCGUAAGGUGGAGCGAAUCCCAAAAAGCCGGUCUCAGUUCGGAUUGAGGUCUGCAACUCGACCUCAUGAAGUCGGAGUCGCUAGUAAUCGCAGAUCAGCAACGCUGCGGUGAAUACGUUCCCGGGCCUUGUACACACCGCCCGUCAAGUGAUGAAAGUCGGUAACACCCGAAGCCGGUGGCCUAACCC